AAGUGGGAGACAAACCGACAGAAACGCAGAGGAAGACUGCGGAGCGGUUUGCGGGGUCGAGGACAGGAAGCUUUAAGGUGAAAUGUCGCACUUUUGUAGAGAACUCUCUCUUCUUCUGUUAUUACUGGCUCAUGCCCAGGCUGACAACUGUCUUACUGCCAUCGUUGGAGAGACGGUGCAAAUCCCCUGCUCUCUGAAAACUGAAGAGUCUUUAAAGACGGAGGACAUUUCUGUUGAAUGGAAAACAUCUGAAGAUCUCAUUGUUCAUUCAUUUGUCAAAGGACAGGAUUAUUGGACAAAUCAGGCCCCCCAGUUUAAAGGCAGAACGCAGCUCUUUAGGUCUGAGCUUUCACAUGGCAAUCUGUCCCUGAGUCUGUCCAGUGUGUCCCUAACUGACGAUGCGGGCUAUACCUGCAACUACCACCGUUCUGGGGAGCCCACCUCCAGACAGCUUUCUCAGGAGUGCCUUCAAAUUGCAGGUCAUUACUCUGUCCCAGUUGUCCAAGGACCAGCAUCACCAGUGUUUAACGACCAGGAGGUCAAUUUCACCUGCAAGUCUACUGGGGGAUUCCCUGAGCCAAAGGUCCAGUGGUCUGUGAAUAAGGAGCUGCUUCAGAACUCAAGACGAGUGAACACAACACUGAGCCGCGACAGCAGAGGUCUGUACAAUGUGACCAGCGUCCUGAUCGUGAAUGUGACAGGAGACGUGUCUGUGACCUGCACCGUCGAGAAUGACAGACUGAGGGAGAAGACGACAUCAGCUGAAAGUGAGUAUCUGAUUAAAGCAGAGAAAGAGCCAAACGGAGGCACCAAGGUGAUAGUUGUGUUAGUGGCAGUGCUGGUUGUGCUGGUGAUUGUACUGAUUGUAGUGAUUGUGGUGUUAAAGAAGAGGAAGUGGAAACAUCAACGUAAUGGAGAAGCUGGUAUGUCAAACUUAAACACUGAGCUGAUAGGCUGCCAUGUCAUCACUUGUUGUUUAUCAUUUGUGUGUCCAAGAUGUCCUCAUUCUUUUAAAUUGCUCUUUUGUGAGGUGAAGUCCUCACACGUCUGCAGUGUCUCUCUGUCUGUAUGUCUGUCCUCCUUUGUCCCAGCACAGCUUACUGUUGGUGCAGCCUACAAGAUGGUAAAGGAUUCACCACCAGCCACUGGAGGACAUCACAGGACACACAAAUGUUAGGAGCUCCACAAAGUCACAAGGCUGACGUCGUCAAAUUUCUUUCUUUUCUUCACUCUGUGUUCUGUCCACUGUUGCUGUUAUGGUUUGAAUUUCUCAUCUCCUGCCUGCACUCUUUACACGUCUUCAUCUCAGAAUGUCACUGUUCUGACUGUCCAGCCAUCUGAACACAUUUUCAUGAAUUUUCUUUCAGUAACAAACAAAGACGAGGAAUCUGAAGCUCCACUGCAGCAAACACAAACAAGGACAACCCUGAAUAGCUGAACAGCUCUGAGAAUGUGAAAGAAGAUUGACUUGUGCUGAGACCACAGUGUUGGCAUUGAGGAGUUUCAAAUGAGCGCCUGAGGAGCACACAAGUGAAUCUGAAGCACUUUGUCUUCAUUUGGACAAAUUUGAAUUUGCACUGAUCAAGUUGACUGGAAGGUGAAUGAGUCGACAGUUUUUAAGGAAUGAACUUAAAUGUCAAGAAUGUUCUUCGCAGACGUGUCAGUCGGCAGCACGCAGCCUGUGCAGAGGUGUUUUUCUAGCAAUGACUUAUACAGAAUGAUAUUUUGAAAUACAUUAAGGUGGUCCGGAACAACAAAAAUGUUUGUAGGCUUGAAAGAUUCUAGUGUUAAACAAAGGAUAGCAAAUGAAAAAGUUUCAAAGCUUACAGCCAAAGGCAUGUGGACAGCCCUCCAAAUCACGGAGUUCAGGUGUUUCAUUGUUAAGAUGCAUCAAGCUGUCCUGAUCUGCAGAGAUUCUUUCAGUCAUAUUAUGAUGAGCCCCCCCAAAAGAAGCUAGGAAGCAGGCCAGAACCCCACCUUAGCUUCAGCCUGGCCACAGGCCCAUAUUGAGGAGCUGGCUAAGCAACUAGUAAUGUCUACAAAACAUUUUCUCUACAUUUAUAAUGGCUAACACGGUACAACACUCUAGUACUAAACAAAACAUCAGAAAUCUCCUCUGUCACUUCGCUGCUGUUCUCCCACUAAGGUCCACCAAUUCUGGAAAUCUUCUUGUGCUCCACACUAACCUGAGCUCUAUGGGUGACAUAGGUGACUUCAUCUUUAUAGCGUCCAGAUCUCCACAAAUUAAUGAGAUCAGCCAACUGAAUUAAUUCUUUUAAGACAACACACAAAACUCGUCAGGAAGGCGUUGAACUAAUGUAACCAGAAUUGAAGAAGUUGAGUGAUAACCUAAUGCAGUUGAUGUAAGGACGGUUCUUUCAGGCAGGGAUUUUGGUUGAUUAAAGCAGGUCUGACCCAUCAUCUCAGGCCUCAAUCUUCACUUUCAGACAGAGGCCAUGGGUGAUUAGAGCAGGUCCACUGAGCACAGAGAGACAAAAAAGACACUAUUUGGGUCUUAGAAGAGCAAAGUCCAUCAAUAAGGUGGUUCAGGUGGUAGUUACCCAUACCUGGCAUAUUUCAUAAAAAGCUCAAUGACUAUGCAAAUAGUGCGAGUAUUUAAUGGUGAUGGUCUUUCUAGAAGCCAGAAGCCAUCUGCAAAAAGUAUGCCACCUACACUUCGCCGAACUGAACAUACAAUCAUCAGAGCUCUCACUGAAGAACUGGAGGAUGAUUGUAUGGUUCCAAUGGCUUUUUUUUGGCCUGGAUAUCUUAUAUUUAAAAUGUCUAUGCAUGGAAGUGUGUGUGUCUGUCUGGCCCGGAAGUGCAAGGCUACAGCAUGAAGCUCAAAGAAAGCGGCUCUGUCGCCAAAGUGAAACCUGAGAAAAGAGAAACUCGCUUAGUCGCUAAUAUCAAGCGAGGCAUGCACAUCUGAAAAACGAAACCUCUGAGGAGAGAGAACCUCGCUUAGCCGCUUAUAGACAAUGGAGGCGAGGAGAGAGAACCUCUCUUACCUGCUAAUGCACAACCAAUGCGAUUGAUUAAUUGAAGUUGCAGAAUCCAUGGAUUCUAGGAGUCUGGGCUUUUUACAGCAGGGGCUUACAGAGCUAGUGUGUGUGUAAAUGAUUAGACUACAUUGUAUACUGUAUUUCCUUUUGUACCUUAUUUCUCUUGUCUGGUUAUUUCCACCAUGGUUACCGAAGGAGCGUAUAUAUAUAUAUAUAUAUAUAUAUAUACAGUAAUCCCUCGCUACUUCGCGGUUCAGUUUUCGCGGAUUCACGACUUUGCGGGUUUUUAAAUACAAGUGAUUGCCCGCCUAUCGCGGAAGUUAUGUUCCAGACCCAUCAGCAACAGGAGAAAAUCCGCGAUAUAGAAAGACCAUAUAAAUAAACAUUUUUAUAGUUUAAGCCUUAAAAUACCCAUCCCACAUGCUUUAAACACAUGUAAACUUAUAAAACACACUUUGUUAACACAUAUGACAUAUGGAUGUCGGGCUAAGGAUAUGAGUAACAUCUCACUAUUAUAAAACAUUUUAACUUCACGCAAGACAAGACAGUGAGACAGGAAAAUUGGUGAUGUACAGGCUUUUAAAUUAUUGACACGCAGAGCGACAAGCAGCACAAAGCCAGCACAAAGUCCACUUCUCCUUAGCGCUCAUUCUGCUCCCCACCCCCUUGACAAUGCGAAGUGGCAGGAGCUUACUGCGCUUCCGGGGAGGGGGGGUUUGAGCGAAGGUGCGUUCAACCCUCAUACACCCACACCCACACACACACACACACACACACACACACUCCUCCUCCUCCUUCCAAACGGGCAGAUCGACAAGCAGGCAUUUUGGCAGAAGCAGCACAAAGUCCAUUUCUGCUCAGCGUGAGUUCAGCUGCCCCCCUUCACAAAUCGAGUGCAGACACAUUGACGUCUGAUCGCUGCGUGCAGUGUGCAGUGUUGGUCUGAGGUGUUUAAGAAUGUAGAAAGUGUUUAAGAGCAUAGGAAGUGUUUAUAAGAGUGUGGGAAAGGUUAACAAGAGAGUGAGAAAGGUUUAUAAGAGUGUGGGAAGGGUUUAUAAAGCCUUAAAAUAUGUAUAAAUAAUAAAAUAAAUAUAGGUCGCUACUUCGCGGAUUUUCACCUAUCGCGGGGGGCUCUGGAACGUAACGUAUAUAAUAUAGGUCCAAGUACGUUCUGUAUUUCAAUAAAGAACACAAUUCCCUUGAACAAGCGCCCCCUGAUGGAGACAAUUGACAUUCUGACCCUUCUUCAGUGAACCCCCUCCCUCUGUGUUUGUGUCACACAUUAUGCUAUUUGUUAAUGGUUUUCUUCUAGUAUUGCAUUUUGCAUUUUAUUUUGGUUUAUAGUUCUAUUAUGUACUACAGGGUUUACCCCCUGCUAGCUACCCCCCCCCCCCCCGCAGCCACUUUGUGUCUCUGCCACUCGUAUUGUGAAGAGGGGGCUGAACGCACCCCAAGGAGACCCUGUCACUCCUCCGAAACCCCUCUUAAAACAGUGUUACAAUGGGAAACAAAUAGUUUUUUUAUCCCCUCUUUGCUCGAUCAGCUGCUGGUUUGCUGCUGCUGCUGUGCCGUGUGAUCUGCAUUUCGCGCGGUGCUUUGAACAUUUAAAGGCCUGUACAGCAGCUGUCCUACUCUUUGUCUUUUAUUUCUGGCCCUGUGCGUGGUUAAAUCUCGUCUCACAGGACUGAGCUCUUGAUAAUUUUUAGUUUAUAAUUUAAAAAGGGAAUAAGAAUCUGGAAAUCUAACAGUAUCACAUUAAAGUUCGAUAAAUUCUGAAAAGAAUGAUACCAAACAUAUAUAUGUAGGUUUUAAAACAAGCCAGAUUUAAAGUGUGACAAAAAACGUAACAUAAAAACAUCACAUAAAAUCAUUGCACAAAAUCGUUGCACUUUUAGACUUAGGAUUUUAUACAUAUAGACAGAGUAGAUUAUAUCAGAUAUUUUUGUAUUCAAUGCCCGGCAGUUCUUCUGAGACUCUGUGAAGCACUUUGAGCCUCUUGGGGAGCCACCCAUAAAGCACAAAGACACAACAGACCGCGGACUUCCACAGAGAAACAGAAUUACACAGACCUGAACAUCAUAUAAGUGAUUAUUAUUAUUAUUAUAAACACAUCAAAAGCAAUUUAAACAGAUGAAACAUGAAAAUGAAGCCUAAACAAGCAGAGAUCCUGAACUGGUAGAGCUCCACUAACCCAAGUCAGCACACAGCCCUGCAGUCUCCAUUGAUGAGCACUGCCAGUAGUUUUGUUCUUACUGAAGAGCUCAGUGAGUUCAGGAUGCCACCUUUGGUUCCAGUCUGCCCCGGUCAACUGUACCUGCUGUUAUUGUGAAGUAAGAGCAUGAAGGAGCAGCAGCUCAGCCAUGAAGUGGUAGACCACACAGACUCACAGAGCCCACACAAAUCCCUUCUCUAUGGCAUCAGGACAUUCACAAAUGGGUUUACUGCUAUAAAACUGGCCUCCUGCCAUUUCACUCUGGAGUGAGGAGUUGCACUCCACUACCUGGCAGUCUGAUGGACAAAUCCAAGUUUGGUGAUGCUAGGAGAGCAUUACCUUUCAGAUCUUAUGACGUCUACUAUCAAAUCUGGUGGAGGAGGAGUGAUAAUGGCAGGGUUUGGACUUGGUCCCUUUGGUUCCAGUGAAAGGCAGCUGGUUAUACUACAAGAGACAAAGCCAUUUGAGACAGUUGUGCUCUUCAGUUUGGGGAAAACCCUUUUCUGUUCCAGCAUAAUAAGCAAGUCCACAAAAGACAUGGAGAGACUCCAGCAGCCCACACAAAGCCCUGAUGUCAACCCUUUGGAAUGAAUGGGAAUGCUGAUUGCACAGCCAAAAACAAUCCAAAUAAUCCAAAUGGUUAAAAGACCACUUAACGUGACAGAAAGAGAAGGAUCUCAACCCUUAGCCCAAUAAAGGCUGACGGCCCCCUCAGUCCCUUGUGGUUCAUUGAAUGUGCUUAGCGGUGUUGGUGACUUCUUGUGAUUGUUUGAUGUCGAUGCUCUGCUUUUCACUUUGCCUUCUGGGUUUGUGUUUUUGGGAUUUGUUUGCCUUGGAUGGCCUUUACUGUUUAAGGCAACUGCCUCUUGUGCUCUUCAGAGCUUCCUUGUUGCAGAGCAUUUUUGGAAAAUAAAUAUUUUUAUUUUUAAA